rnacentral:rRNA from 1 species
UGAUUAAGCCAUGCAAGUCGAAUGUAGCAAUACAUGGCGUACUGCUCAGUAACACGUGGACAACCUGCCCUUAGGACGGGUAUAAACCCGGGAAACUGGGUAUAAUUCCCGAUAGAUCUCGUCUGCUGGAAUGCAUCGAGAUCCAAAGCUCCGGCGCCUAAGGAUGGGUCUGCGGCCUAUCAGGUAGUAGUGGGUGUAGCGUACCUACUAGCCUACGACGGGUACGGGUUGUGAGAGCAAGAGCCCGGAGAUGGAUUCUGAGACACGAAUCCAGGCCCUACGGGGUGCAGCAGGCGCGAAAACUUUACAAUGCUGGGAACAGCGAUAAGGGAACCUCGAGUGCCAGGUUACAAAUCUGGCUGUCGUGAUGCCUAAAAAGCAUUAUAUAGCAAGGGCCGGGCAAGACCGGUGCCAGCCGCCGCGGUAACACCGGCGGCUCGAGUGGUAACCGUUAUUAUUGGGUCUAAAGGGUCUGUAGCCGGCCGGAUAAGUCUCUUGGGAAAUCUGGCAGCUCAACUGUCAGGCUUUCAGGGGAUACUGUCUGGCUCGAGGCCGGGAGAGGUGAGAGGUACUUCAGGGGUAGGGGUGAAAUCUUGUAAUCCUUGAAGGACCACCAGUGGCGAAGGCGUCUCACCAGAACGGACCUGACGGCAAGGGACGAAAGCUAGGGGCACGAACCGGAUUAGAUACCCGGGUAGUCCUAGCCGUAAACGAUACUCGCUAGGUGUCGGCCACGGUGCGACCGUUGUCGGUGCCGUAGGGAAGCCGUGAAGCGAGCCACCUGGGAAGUACGGCCGCAAGGCUGAAACUUAAAGGAAUUGGCGGGGGAGCA